rnacentral:lncRNA from 1 species
GAGGCAGAAAAAAGCAGCUAGGAAACAGCAGCAGGAAUCUUAGCAGGAAAUGAUGGAAGAAGAUGAGAGAGCAGAGGAGAUGAAGAGCAGGGGCACCAUUCAAGAGCGGGAAAAGUGACAGAACCAGCAGGAUAAAGUGAUAAUUGGAGACAAGGUGCUGGAGGAAGGGAGGGGAGUUGAUUGGCUUCGAGUUUUUGCUUCAGAAUGGAGGACUGUCAAGCGCACACACAAGGCAAGGUGCUAGGCCCAGAACUGGGGAUCCAAGGGUAAAUAUGAAAGAACACCUGCCUUUGAAGAGACAACAGGAUGAAGUGCUCAUGGAAAUGAAGAGAGAGACGCUUCAUGGUAUGUGCUAUGUAAGGGUUUAUGGAAGCAGCAGGAAGAUAGGAAAAAACUAACCCAGUAUGUGAAGUGGGAGUUGGUAAAAGGGAAAGUGGGUAUCUUUCUAAGAAGACUUCCUUGAAGCAGGAUAUUGCAUCAAUAAUGUAACUGCGGUUUAAAGCUGCCUGGGCUUC